UACGUAGGGCGCAAGCGUUAUCCGGAAUUAUUGGGCGUAAAGAGCUCGUAGGCGGUUUGUCGCGUCUGCCGUGAAAAUCCAGGGCUCAACCCUGGACCUGCAUUCGAUACGGGCAGACUAGAGUUCGGUAGGGGAGACUGGAAUUCCUGGUGUAGCGGUGAAAUGCGCAGAUAUCAGGAGGAACACCCAUGGCGAAGGCAGCAAACUGGUCCGUAUCUGACGCUGAGGCGCGAAAGCGUGGGUAGCAAACAGG
rnacentral:rRNA from 1 species